AUUGAACGCUGGCGGCAUGCCUUACACAUGCAAGUCNAACGGCAGCACGGGAGCUUGCUCCUGGUGGCGAGUGGCGAACGGGUGAGUAAUAUAUCGGAACGUACCCUAGAGUGGGGGAUAACGCAGCGAAAGUUGCGCUAAUACCGCAUACGAUCUACGGAUGAAAGUGGGGGAUCGCAAGACCUCAUGCUCAUGGAGCGGCCGAUAUCUGAUUAGCUAGUUGGUGGGGUAAAGGCCUACCAAGGCAUCGAUCAGUAGCUGGUCUGAGAGGACGACCAGCCACACUGGAACUGAGACACGGUCCAGACUCCUACGGGAGGCAGCAGUGGGGAAUUUUGGACAAUGGGCGCAAGCCUGAUCCAGCAAUGCCGCGUGAGUGAAGAAGGCCUUCGGGUUGUAAAGCUCUUUUGUCAGGGAAGAAACGGUGAGGGCUAAUAUCCUUUGCUAAUGACGGUACCUGAAGAAUAAGCACCGGCUAACUACGUGCCAGCAGCCGCGGUAAUACGUAGGGUGCAAGCGUUAAUCGGAAUUACUGGGCGUAAAGCGUGCGCAGGCGGUUAUGUAAGUCAGAUGUGAAAUCCCCGGGCUCAACCUGGGAAUGGCAUUUGAGACUGCAUGGCUAGAGUGUGUCAGAGGGGGGUAGAAUUCCACGUGUAGCAGUGAAAUGCGUAGAGAUGUGGAGGAAUACCGAUGGCGAAGGCAGCCCCCUGGGAUAACACUGACGCUCAUGCACGAAAGCGUGGGGAGCAAACAGGAUUAGAUACCCUGGUAGUCCACGCCCUAAACGAUGUCUACUAGUUGUCGGGACUUAAUUGUCUUGGUAACGCAGCUAACGCGUGAAGUAGACCGCCUGGGGAGUACGGUCGCAAGAUUAAAACUCAAAGGAAUUGACGGGGACCCGCACAAGCGGUGGAUGAUGUGGAUUAAUUCGAUGCAACGCGAAAAACCUUACCUACCCUUGAC
rnacentral:rRNA from 1 species